rnacentral:rRNA from 1 species
AUUGAACGCUGGCGGCAGGCCUAACACAUGCAAGUCGAACGAGUGGCGGAAGGGUGAGUAAUGUCUGGGAAACUGCCUGAUGGAGGGGGAUAACUACUGGAAACGGUAGCUAAUCCCGCAUACCAUCGGAUGUGCCCAGCUGGGCUUAGCUAGUAGGUGUGGUAAAGGCGCACCUAGGCGCAGCUCCCUAGCUGGUCUGAGAGGAUGACCAGGCACACUGGAACUGAGACACGGUCCAGACGCCGACGGGAGGCAGCAGUGGGGAAUAUUGGACAAUGGGCGCAAGCCUGAUGGAGCCAUGCCGCGUGUAUGAAGAAGGACUUCGGUGUGUAAAGUACUGUCAGCGGGAAGGCGUUACCCGCAGAAGAAGCACCGGCUAACUCCGUGCCAGCAGCCGCGGUAAUUC